rnacentral:rRNA from 1 species
GUGCCAGCCGCCGCGGUAAUACGUAGGUGGCAAGCGUUGUCCGGAAUUAUUGGGCGUAAAGCGCGCGCAGGCGGCCUUUUAAGUCCAUCUUAAAAGCGUGGGGCUCAACCCCAUGAGGGGAUGGAAACUGGGAGGCUGGAGUAUCGGAGAGGAAAGCGGAAUUCCUAGUGUAGCGGUGAAAUGCGUAGAGAUUAGGAAGAACACCAGUGGCGAAGGCGGCUUUCUGGACGACAACUGACGCUGAGGCGCGAAAGCGUGGGAGCAAACAGGAUUAGAUACCCUGGUAGUCCACGCCGUAAACGAUGGAUACUAGGUGUAGGAGGUAUCGACCCCUUCUGUGCCGGAGCUAACACAAUAAGUAUCCCGCUGGGAAGUACGGCCGCAAGGCUAAAACUCAAAGGAAUUGACGGGGCCGCACAAGCGUGGAGUAUGUGGUUUAAUCGACGCAACGCGAAG